CUCGAGAGCGGCCCAUGUCCUAUCAGCUUGUUGGUGGGGUAACGGCCUACCAAGGCUACGACGGGUACCGGGACUGAGAGGUUGACCCGGCGCAUCGGGACUGAGACACUGCCCGGACUCCUACGGGAGGCUGCAGUAACGAAUAUUGGGCAAUGGGCGAAAGCCUGACCCAGCGACGCCGCGUGUGGGAAGAAUGCCUUCGGGUUGUAAACCACUGUCAGGGAUUACCAACCAACCGGUGUGAAUAGCGCCGGGAGUUGAGGAGUCCCAGAGGAAGUCACGGCUAACUUCGUGCCAGCAGCCGCGGUAAUACGAAGGUGGCUAGCGUUGUUCGGAAUCACUGGGCUUAAAGAGCACGUAGGCGGAUGAUCAAGCGUCUUGUGAAAGCCCUCGGCUCAACCGGGGAAUUGCUUGGCGAACUGAUCAUCUUGAGGCAGGUAGGGGCGAGUGGAACUCUUGGUGGAGCGGUGGAAUGCUUAGAUAUCAAGAGGAACGCCAGAGGCGAAGGCGACUCGCUGGGCCUGACCUGACGCUGAGGUGCGAAAGCCAGGGGAGCGAACGGGAUUAGAUACCCCGGUAGUCCUGGCCCUAAACGAUGUCCACUAGGUCGGUGAGGUUCUAAUGCUUUGCUGGCCGAAACAAAAGCGUUAAGUGGACCGCCUGGGGAGUACGGUCGCAAGGCUAAAACUCAAAGGAAUUGACGGGGGCUCACACAAGCGGUGGAGCAUGUUGCUUAAUUCGAUGCAACGCGAAGAACCUUAUCCUGGGCUUGACAUACACGGAUGCCCUCCUGGAAACAGGUCGGGUUGCCCUUCGGGGUGAAACGUACACAGGUGCUGCAUGGCUGUCGUCAGCUCGUGUCGUGAGAUGUUGGGUUAAGUCCCGUAACGAGCGAAACCCUUGUCGCUAGUUGCCAGCGCGUAAUGGCGGGGACUCUAGCGAGACUGCCGGUGUUAAACCGGAGGAAGGUGGGGAUGACGUCAAGUCCUCAUGGCCUUUAUGCCCAGGGCUGCAAACGUGCUACAAUGGUAGGGACAGAGCGACGCAAGACCGUGAGGUGGAGCAAAUCGCAAAAACCCUGCCCCAGUUCGGAUCGGAGUCUGCAACUCGACUCCGUGAAGUCGGAAUCGCUAGUAAUCGCGCAUCAGCGUGGCGCGGUGAAUGUGUUCCUGAGC
rnacentral:rRNA from 1 species